UACGUAGGCAGCAAGCGUUGUUCGGAGUUACUGGGCGUAAAGGGUGCGUAGGCUGUUUCGUAAGUAUGGUGUGAAAUCUCCCGGCUUAACUGGGAGGGUGCGCUAUAAACUGCGGGACUAGAGUGUGGGAGAGGAAAGUGGAAUUCCUGGUGUAGCGGUGAAAUGCGUAGAUAUCAGGAGGAACACCGGUGGUGUAAACGGCUUUCUGGACCAUAACUGACGCUGAGGCACGAAAGCGUGGGUAGCAAACAGG
rnacentral:rRNA from 1 species